GACGAACGCUGGCUACAGGCUUAACACAUGCAAGUCGAGGGGCAGCAUGGACAUAGCUUGCUAUGUUUGAUGGCGACCGGCGCACGGGUGCGUAACACGUAUCCAAUCUGCCCGUUACUCGGGGAUAGCCUUCUGAAAGGAAGAUUAAUACCCGAUGGCAUGUAUUUCCGGCAUCGGAGAUACAUUAAAGAUUUAUCGGUAACGGAUGAGGAUGCGUACGAUUAGCUUGUGGGCGGGGUAACGGCCCACCAAGGCGACGAUCGUUAGGGGGUCUGAGAGGAAGGUCCCCCACCCUGGAACUGAGACACGGUCCAGACUCCUACGGGAGGCAGCAGUGAGGAAUAUUGGUCAAUGGUCGGAAGACUGAACCAGCCAAGUAGCGUGAAGGGUGACUGCCCUACGGGUUGUAAACUUCUUUUGUUUGGGAAUAAAAGACGCUACGUGUAGCGUUCUGCAUGUACCUUACGAAUAAGCAUCGGCUAAUUCCGUGCCAGCCGCCGCGGUAAUAC
rnacentral:rRNA from 1 species